AUUGAACGCUGGCGGCAGGCCUAACACAUGCAAGUCGAGCGAGCGGCGGAAGGGUGAGUAAUGUAGGGGGACUGCCCGAUAGAGGGGGAUAACUACUGGAAACGGUGGCGAAUACCGCAUACUAGCGGCUAACCCAUAUGGGAUUAGCUAGUAGGUAAGGUAAUGGCGUACCUAGGCGACGAUCCCUAGCUGGUCUGAGAGGAUGAUCAGCCACACUGGUACUGAGACACGGCCCAGACGCCUACGGAGGCAGCAGUGGGGAAUAUUGCGCAAUGGGCGCAAGCCUGAUGCAGCAAUGCCGCGUGUAUGAAGAAGGCCCUCGGGUUGUAAAGUACUUUCAGUCGGGAGGCGUUACCUACAGAAGAAGCACCGGCUAACUCCGUGCCAGCCGCCGCGGUAAUUC
rnacentral:rRNA from 1 species